rnacentral:rRNA from 1 species
UACGUAGGUGGCAAGCGUUGUCCGGAUUUAUUGGGUUUAAAGGGCGCGCAGGCGGCUGCUCAAGUCAGGCGUGAAAGGCCUGGGCUCAACCCGGGAAUUGCGCUUGAGACUGGGCUGGCUUGAGUGCGGGAGAGGAUGGUGGAAUUCCCAGUGUAGAGGUGAAAUUCGUAGAUAUUGGGAAGAACACCGGUGGCGAAGGCGGCCAUCUGGACCGCAACUGACGCUGAGGCGCGAAAGCGUGGGGAGCAAACAGG